GACGAACGCUGGCGGCGUGCUUAACACAUGCAAGUCGAACGGGCUCUGUCUGGCUGUGUGCUGGGUGGGGUUAGUGGCGAACGGGUGAGUAAUACGUGAGUAACCUGCCCUCUUCUUUGGGAUAAGCCUUGGAAACGGGGUCUAAUACUGGAUAUUCCUGUCUGGUCGCAUGGCUGGGUGGGGAAAGUUUUUUUCGGUGGGGGAUGGGCUCGCGGCCUAUCAGCUUGUUGGUGGGGUGAUGGCCUACCAAGGCGUCGACGGGUAGCCGGCCUGAGAGGGUGACCGGCCACACUGGGACUGAGAUACGGCCCAGACUCCUACGGGAGGCAGCAGUGGGGGAUAUUGCACAAUGGGUGCAAGCCUGAUGCAGCGACGCCGCGUGGGGGAUGACGGCUUUCGGGUUGUAAACCUCUUUCGUCGGGGGACAAGGCUCUGCUUGGUGGUGGGGUUGAGGGUACCCGGUGAAGAAGCGCCGGCUAACUACGU
rnacentral:rRNA from 1 species